CGUAACACGUGGGCAACCUGCCCUGAAGCGGGGGACAACAAUCCGAAAGGGUUGCUAAUACCGCAUGUGAACUUUUGUGGCAUCACGGAAUGUUCAAAGCUUUAUGCACUUCAGGAUGGGCCCGCGGCCUAUCAGCUUGUUGGUGGGGUAACGGCCUACCAAGGCUUCGACGGGUAGCUGGUCUGAGAGGACGAUCAGCCGGAUUGGGACUGAGAUACGGCCCAG
rnacentral:rRNA from 1 species